UUAAAAAGCUCGUAGUUGGAUUUCUGUUGAGGAUGACCGGUCCGCUCUUUGAGCGCGUAUCUGGUUCAGCCUUGGCAUCCUCUUGGGGAACGCUACUGUGCUUGAUUGCAUGGGGCGGUAUUCAAGACUUUUACUUUGAGGAAAUUAGAGUGUUCACUGCAAGCGUUAGCAAUUGAAUACAUUAGCAUGGAAUAAUAAUAUAGGACCUUGGUACUAUUUUGUUGGUUUCUAGAACUAAGGUAAUGAUUAAUAGGGACAAUUGGGGGCAUUCGUAUUAACGCGUCAGAGGUGGAAUUCUUAGAUUGCGUUACGACGAACUACUGCGAAAGCAUUUGCCAAGGAUGUUUUCAUUGAUCAAGAACGAAAGUAUGGGGAUCGAAGACGCUUAGAUACCGUCGUAGUCUAUACCAUAAACUAUGCCAACUAGAGAUUGGAGGUCGUUCUCUUUAUGACUCCUUCAGCACCUUAUGAGAAAUCAAAGUCUUUGGGUUCCGGGGGGAGUAU
rnacentral:rRNA from 1 species